GACGAACGCUGGCGGCGUGCUUAAUACAUGCAAGUCAACUGAACUUAAGGUAGUAAUACUUUAAGGGAGGUGGCGCACGGGUGAGUAACACGUAGGUAAUCUGCCUUUAGGUCUGACAUAAUUCCGCGAAAGCGGGACUAAAAUCAGAUGAUGCAGCGGCUCGACAUCGAGACAGUUGUUAAACCUUCGGGGCCUAGAGAUGAGCCUGCGUCUGAUUAGGUAGUUGGCGGAGUAAAAGCCCACCAAGCCUGCGAUCAGUAGCUGGUCUGAGAGGAUGAUCAGCCACACUGAAACUGAGACACGGUCCAGACUCCUACGGGAGGCAGCAGUAAGGAAUAUUGCUCAAUGGCCGAAAGGCUGAAGCAGCAACGCCGCGUGGAGGAUGAAAUACUUUUGUAUGUAAACUCCUGUAAGGGGGAAAUAUACAGUUAAUACUGUAUUGAUUGUACCCUCAGAGUAAGCACCGGCUAACUACGUGCC
rnacentral:rRNA from 1 species